rnacentral:piRNA from 1 species
AUUAGACAGUAGAGGACCCUGAG